rnacentral:lncRNA from 1 species
CUCUGGGUGAGGUUCUGUCUGUCUAACCACACUGACAUGUACUGCUCUCUGGGUGAGGUUCUGUCUGUCUAACACACUGACAUGUACAGCUCUCUGGGUGAGGUUCUGUCUGUCUAACCACACUGACAUGUACAGCUCUCUGGGUGAGGUUCUGUCUGUCUAACCACACUGACAUGUACAGCUCUCUGGGUGAGGUUCUGUCUGUCUAACACACUGACAUGUGCAGCUCUCUGGGUGAGGUUCUGUCUGUCUAACACACUGACAUGUACAGCUCUCUGGGUGAGGUUCUGUCUGUCUAACCACACACUGACAUGUACAGCUCUCUGGGUGAGGUUCUGUCUGUCUAACCACACUGACAUGUACAGCUCUCUGGGUGAAGUUCUGUCUGUCUAACCACACUGACAUGUACAGCUCUCUGGGUGAGGUUCUGUCU